rnacentral:rRNA from 1 species
GACGAACGCUGGCGGCGUGCUUAACACAUGCAAGUCGAACGGAAAGGCCCUGCGUUUGUUGGUUUCUCGAUUGGCGAACGGGGGAGUAACACGUGAGUAACCUGCCCUUGACUGUGUGAUAACUUCAGGGAACUGGGGCGAAUACCGGAGAGGAUCUCCUGCUGCAUGUUGGUGGUUGGAAAGUUUCGGCGGUUGUGGCUGGACUCGCUGCUUAUCAGCUUGUUGGUGGGGUAGUUGCUUACCAAGGCUUUGACGGGUAGCCCGCCUGAGAGGGUUACCGGGCACCAUGCGCCUGCGAGAGGGAGCAGAAUCCUACGGGAGGCAGUAGUGGGGAAUAUUGCACAACGGGCGGACGUGUGAUGCAGAAACGCCGCGUGCGGGAUGCCGGGCUUCGGGUUGUAAACAGAUUUCGACUGUGACGAAGAGUGAGUGACGGUACUGGGUCAAGAAGCCCCGGCUAACUACGUG